AUCAUUAUACGCUUGAACGUUGCGGAAAAUUUCUGUAUAAAAAUUGUUAACAAUGCACUUGGUGCCACAGAUUGUCAUUGUGAUACUGUUACAUGUUUUAAAGAUCAUCGGUGUAGAGGGCUCUGUGAUCUUUGAUGAAAAGGAUGUUUACAAACGCUCUAUAAAUAGUCCUCCGGGACACUACAGAAGCCUCCGCCAACUAAUGGAUGAUAGGCUGGUGGUAGACGAACCGGUCUAUAAAGAAUACCCAGUAACCAAGAAGACUUGGCGAAAUACCGGAAAAUAAUGCAGUUGGCAUAACUAUUUCAUGAAAUAAAGUAAUACGCAAAAUC